GACGGAGGAUGCAAGCGUUAUCCGGAAUGAUUGGGCGUAAAGCGCGCGUAGGCGGCUACUUAAGUCGGACGUGAAAGCCCUUGGCUCAACUGAGGAAGUGCACCCGAAACUGAGUGGCUUGAGUACGAAAGAGGGUCGCGGAAUUCCCGGUGUAGAGGUGAAAUUCGUAGAUAUCGGGAGGAACACCGGUGGCGAAGGCGGCGACCUGGGUCGAUACUGACGCUGAUGCGCGAAAGCGUGGGGAGCAAACAGG
rnacentral:rRNA from 1 species